AUAGUAUUAUCAUUAUAGCAGCAGAAGCAGUUACAACAGUAUAGUCGCUGACCGAAAAAAAUUCGUUCUUACUCACAUUCGAUUAUCAAGACGUAUUCCGGUCAAUAUACAAGAUGAAUAAAUACCUGAUGUUGCUGGUAGCGGUGUAUUUGUUUGCGAUGAUUGGAUUGGCGUAUGGUGAUACGCAUGCAUUCGUUUGUCCAAGUGAAUGUUGGUUCGACUGGAAUGCUGCAUACAAACAUUGUAUUUCACCAGUUGCAAUAUUCAAUGGCUGUGAUGGGACUGAAGGUCAUUCGGAAUGUCGAUGUUGGUGUUGUUUAACUUAUUGACAGCUCGAUUUACUUUAAAAUUUGUGAGCAGCAUUAUAAUAUAUGGAUAUGCAAUAUAAUAUGAAGGAAAUUUGAAAACAUCAAAGUCAAUUGGUAUUUUCUUUUUUGUAUCAAAUUUUCGAAUUCUCCUUUUUUAUAUUCCAAAAUUUUAUUCAUUUGUGAUGUACAAAAAUAUUGAUCAAAAACAAAAAAAAUCAUACAUAAAUUAUAACUAACUAAUUAUUAUUAUUUUACUUAAUACUCAAAUUCUGUAAAACUAUAAACAACAUUUGUCAAUGUAAACUAUGUUAUUAAACAAAAUAUAAAUUAUGUACCUAA